UUACAGAAUUUGAAAAGAGGAGUUUAGAGAGAUUCAAAAAGGGGUCAUUCCAUAGAUGCUGUGAUAAGCCCAGGAUUGAGCUUAUCUGAAUAGAACAGAAAGGGAGGGAGAAAUGACGAAGAGCAAAGGGAGAAGAGAAGAGAUAGAGGUAGAAGUUGGGGAUUUACCCAGUUUGAUAUUGUGAUCGUAAUCGAUACCUUUCUCAGAUAUGUUUUCGAGUACAUAUAGUUGUGUAAAAGGCCUAGAUAGUAAUUAAAUAAAUAAAGUAAACGAAGCCCAAUUGUUGGCCCAUCUUCAUCAGUCCGGUUCGUAUCAAUACUCCCUUCCUGAAGAUCCAACUUGUCCUCAAGUUGUAUGAACUGCUGUUGCCUUCUUGUAUCUUCAACUUGUGAUUGCCUCUGGUCAGCUUCAUGAUGAUAGCAAUCUCUAACUUUUGACCCUUUAAAACAGCUUCCUCCCCAACUAUGUCUUCCGGAUGUCCUUGUACCUUCUUUCUGUUCAUUCCAUUGCCAUUAAAAUUAGACACAGAGACAAGACCAAUGUUCUGGCUGAGACCACGUUUCCUUGACACAGAAACCAUUGUACCUAGCCCACCCUUGUCGUGAUUCAUUUCUGGUGGUCUUGGUGAUUGAAACCAAUCAUAGACAAAGAACACCACCUUCUCUCUUGGAUCAGAAUUGAUAAACUUGAUAAACAAGUAGCGUCCAUCUGUGUCAUUUUCAGGUGCAUCUUCGUCCAGUACCACUGCUGUCAUAGUGUGAUCAAGGAGCCACCUCAUCUGCUUGUUGUGCUUCCCAUAAUCUAAUAAUGACUCAGAGUAAGCUCUCGUAUCAGAAGUAGAGAGUACGAUGUGCCCUUCAUUCCGCAUCGUUCCAAUUCUAGCACCAUUGUCUCUCCUGCCUUGCUCCACCCACUGAACCAUUCUAAGCCUCUUUUCAAGCUUUACUACUAGAGCAUCACCCUUGCCAUGGUUAGAAUCAGCACCUUCCGCUUUCAUGUGAUGGACCUUUCUCGUAAGCAACUCCAACUCUGAGUUAGCAGAACACUUUUUCAUACUCUGUUCCAUCUCAAGCAAGCAACAUUUUAUAUUGAAAACGAAUUCCUGAAUCUUCUCAAUGCUAACCCCACCAGGAUCCCAUUCAUAACCAAUCAUAGGUUCAGAUCCUUCAUCUCUCUGCAGACGUAAAUACAACGGCAUCACAGCAGCAUCAAAGAUCACCUUCCUCAUUUGCCUCCAUAAACCUGCAGCUCUUCCUGACUUUUCUUUACUUAAACCUUCAAAGCGACCAUCCAUUAUUUUCUCACCACAGAGCCUGAGCUUUCUCCCCGGUAGAAGAACAGUCUUGUCCUCAAGGCUGAAGGAUACAAAAGCUGAUCCCAUGAUCUUAACCCCAUCACUUGAAUUUGUCUUUUGACUCGCUAGGGAUCUCUUAAGACCAAGAACAUCCACACGCUUGACCUCGAUGUACAACUCAUUUCCUCUGUGCCUUUCUUUGUAUUGACCCUUGCUAUCUAUGACCGAAGCGUCCACUCUUUCACACAGCUCUGAAGUUUCAGCGUUCCCCAAGCUAAAAUUGAUAUCGCCAUUUUGUUGUGAUGUUAGCCUCAGCCACUGAACUUGACCUUGUUUAAUGUUAUCAUUUAACAUCACCGCAGGGCCUGGUUCCCAUUGAAAUCUUUGCAACAAUCUGGUGGAUCGUAUCUCUUCUGCACCAUCUGAUUCUUUGCUUAACUGUCUCAGUGCCUUAACGGGAAUGUUCAGAUUAAUCAACUCCUUCUUUCUAGUCUUGUGAUAAGACCAAUUUACUGAGAGCUUUUUCUGGAGCACAACACGUCUUGUGUAAAGAGCUUUCCGGUGACGUCUUCCUUUGAACCGAACCUUGUGAAAUCUUCGUUGCUCCUUCUGUUGUUGACCCUCAGAGAGUUCAACUCGGAUCUUAUCGUUGCUCGUUACCUCUGGUUCUGACUCCAGUACUGUUUCAUCCUUCACAGACUCCAUCGCAGCAUCAGGAUCAUCAUGUUCUAGCGCUGUAACAUCCUCAGCGAAGAUACUUUGAUCUCCUAUCCUCGUAUCUACAUGACCAUCUAUAUCCGUAGGCUCAUGGGAAGUAAACUCAUACCAGAAGAGAUGAGUCUCUGGCCUCACUCCUGUGUCGAUGAUCUGCCUUUUAACCACACAAAUCUUCAUACAGUCUUUUGGAUCUCUAAAACUUGGAGAGACUAGGAACAUCCCCAAGCUCUUACAAGCUUGCGCAAGCUUCACCUGAGCUGUUCUCUUCUUCUGAUGGUAUUGUUUCUUCAUUCCCACACACCUCCUCUGAAACGUACGAUCUAACAAACCCUUUGAAUCAAGAGUUCUUCUAGGUGACUUACUUUUCAGUUUCUUAAAUCGAGAUCUGUGGUAGUUUAGCUUGAUCGGAAUCCUUCUGAGCUUGCUACCUCCAUUAAGCCUUAGAUCUUCAAACCUUUUAGGGAUGAAAGCGUCAUAAGGAUGAGAUUCACCAUACGGUCGCUUCCGCCGCUUCUGAUACUCCUCACGGAACUCCUCAUGCAGUCUCUGACUGUCCAUUCGAAGCUCCUCACGCAGUUUCCGAUCCACAUCCAUCUGUUUGAAUGAUUGUAGUAGCUUCUCGAGCUUCUCACUGAAAACCAUAUAUAUUUUUUUUUUUUUUAAACUCACGGUCAAAGGAACUUGAGCUCUGAUACCAAUGAUAAGCCCAGGAUUGAGCUUAUCUGAAUAGAACAGAAAGGGAGGGAGAAAUGACGAAGAGCAAAGGGAGAAGAGAAGAGAUAGAGGUAGAAGUUGGGGAUUUACCCAGUUUGAUAUUGUGAUCGUAAUCGAUACCUUUCUCAGAUAUGUUUUCGAGUACAUAUAGUUGUGUAAAAGGCCUAGAUAGUAAUUAAAUAAAUAAAGUAAACGAAGCCCAAUUGUUGGCCCAUCUUCAUCAGUCCGGUUCGU
rnacentral:lncRNA from 1 species